CGGAGGGUGCAAUCGUUGCUCGGAAUUAUUGGGCGUAAAGGGCAGGUAGGUGGUCUCAUUUGUCUGGGGUGAAAUCCUUGAGCUUAACUCAAGAAGUGCCCCAGAAACGGUGAGACUUGAGUGCUGGAGAGGGUCGUGGAAUUCCCGGUGUAGCGGUGAAAUGCGUAGAGAUCGGGAGGAACACCAGAGGCGAAGGCGGCGACCUGGACAGUGACUGACACUCAACUGCGAAAGCGUGGGGAGCAAACAGGAUUAGAUACCCUGGUAGUCCACGCCGUAAACGAUGGGUACUAGGCUUGGUGGGUCUUGACCCCCGCCGAGCCGGAGCUAACGCAAUAAGUACCCCGCCUGGGAAGUACGGUCGCAAGACUA
rnacentral:rRNA from 1 species